UUACACACGGAGACAGCCUUUGGUUUGUCUCAGCAGAGCGCUUGGGAAGGUCUGAGAAGGCCGAUUUCCCUCGGUGGGAAUGCCACGAAAGUUACUGCUUGAGGACCAGCAAUGUGCCUCUUGAGGGCAAGCAGAAGAUCUCAGGACCAGGUGGUACUGGGUGAUGCGUUACAGCCCUCAGGUUGGUUGGAACAACUCAAGAGGCCCAAAUCAUCGAAGUUCAAUACACAAGGUGGCUACCAGCCAUA
rnacentral:RNase_P_RNA from 17 species